GACGAACGCUGGCGGCGUGCUUAACACAUGCAAGUCGAGCGGAAAGGCCCUUCGGGGUACUCGAGCGGCGAACGGGUGAGUAACACGUGAGCAACCCGCCCCAGGCUUUGGGAUAACCCCGGGAAACCGGGGCUAAUACCGAAUAUGACCUCUGACCGCAUGGUUGGUGGUGGAAAGUUUUUCGGCUUGGGAUGGGCUCGCGGCCUAUCAGCUUGUUGGUGGGGUGAUGGCCUACCAAGGCGACGACGGGUAGCCGGCCUGAGAGGGCGACCGGCCACACUGGGACUGAGACACGGCCCAGACUCCUACGGGAGGCAACAGUGGGGAAUAUUGCACAAUGGGCGCAAGCCUGAUGCAGCAACGCCGCGUGGGGGAUGACGGCCUUCGGGUUGUAAACCUCUUUUAGUAGGGAAGAAGCGAAAGUGACGGUACCUGCAGAAAAAGCACCGGCUAACUACGUGCCAGCCGCCGCAGUAA
rnacentral:rRNA from 1 species